CCUCCGGGAGGCAGCAGUGGGGAAUCUUGCACAAUGGGCGCAAGCCUGAUGCAGCCAUGCCGCGUGUAUGAAGAAGGCCUUCGGGUUGUAAAGUACUUUCAGUCGUGAGGAAGGUGUUAAGGCUAAUAACCUUAGCAAUUGACGUUAGCGACAGAAGAAGCACCGGCUAACUCCGUGCCAGAAGCCGCGGUAAUACGGAGGGUGCGAGCGUUAAUCGGAAUUACUGGGCGUAGAGGGCACGCAGGCGGUUAAUUAAGUUGGAUGUGAAAUCCGCGAUCUUAACCUGGAGAUGGCAUUAAGGACUGAUUAGCGAGAGUCUUGUAGGGUGGGGUAGAAUUCCAGGUGGAGCGGUGAAGUGCGUAGAGCUGUGGAGGGAUACCGGUGGCGAAGGCGGCACCCUUGACAAAGACUGACGCGCAUGUGCGAAAGCGUGAGGAGCACACAGGAUUAGAUACCCCGGUAGUC
rnacentral:rRNA from 1 species